rnacentral:rRNA from 1 species
AUUGAACGCUGGCGGCAUGCUUUACACAUGCAAGUCGAACGGUAACAGGCCGCAAGGUGCUGACGAGUGGCGAACGGGGGAGUAAUGCAUCGGAACGUGCCCAGUCGUGGUGGAUAACUACUCGAAAGAGUAGCUAAUACCGCAUACGAUAUAAGGAUGUAAGCGGGGGACCGUAAGGGCUAGCGCGAUUGGUGCGGCCGAUGUCAGAUUAGGUAGUUGGUGGGGUAAAGGCUCACCAAGCCAACGAUCUGUAGCUGGUCUGAGAGGACGACCAGCCACACUGGGACUGAGACACGGCCCAGACUCCUACGGGAGGCAGCAGUGGGGAAUUUUGGGCAAUGGGCGCAAGCCUGAUCCAGCAAUGCCGCGUGCGGGAAGAAGGCCUUCGGGUUGUAAACUGCUUUUGUACGGAACGAAACGGCUCUGGUUAAUACCCGGGGCUAAUGACGGUACCGUAUGAAUAAGCACCGGCUAACUACGUG